GGUUACAUCAUGUUGAAACAUUGGUCCCCGUAUGAUCCCCAAAGUUAAGCAAUGCCGAGCAUGGUCAGUACCUAGAUAGGUGACUGCCUUGGAAUACCAGGUGCUGUAAG